rnacentral:ncRNA from 1 species
AAAACGCGCUUUUGAUUCCUGCAUGGCGUCAAAGAUUUUUUCUACACUUUCUUUCUAAUCUAUCGUGCAAAAACAUCGGUCAAAAUAAGGAGCACUUCUCCGACAACAUUCAAGCCAUUACGAUCGUCAGUCCUCUUUCAAUAACGUCGUUUUACCUUGAAUAAAUCAGAGUGCUCAAAACAGGCUUUUGCUUGUAUAGCUCAUCAUGGAACAAUGAAAUAGGACUUCGGUUCUUUUUGUUGGUUCUAGAACUGAUUUAAUGGUUAAGAAAGACAAACCGGGGGCAUUCGUAUCAUUACGCGAGAGGUGAAAUUCGUGGGCCGUAGUGAGACGCCCAAUAGCGAAAGCAUUUACCAAGAAUGUCUUCAUUGAGAACGAAAGUCAGAGGUUCGAAGGCGAUUAGAUACCGCCCUAGUUCUGACCGUAAACGAUGCCAUCUCGCGAUUCGGAGAGUUUUUGCCCUGCCGAGGAGCCGGAAACGAAAGUCUUUCGGUU